UACAGAGGUCUCAAGCGUUGUUCGGAUUUAUUGGGCGUAAAGGGCGCGUAGGCGGCGCGGUAAGUCGGGUGUGAAAUCUUGGAGCUUAACUCCGAAACUGCAUUCGAUACUGGCAACCUAGAGACUGGAAGAGGUUAGUGGAAUUCCCAGUGUAGAGGUGAAAUUCGUAGAUAUUGGGAAGAACACCAGUGGCGAAGGCGGCUAACUGGUCCAGCACUGACGCUGAGGUGCGAAAGCGUGGGGAGCAAACAGG
rnacentral:rRNA from 1 species